rnacentral:rRNA from 1 species
AUGUCCCAGGAAUCACUUGUGCAUGUUGUCUCUAGUGAGGAGGAGGCAAGAGAAAGGAAAAGGAAAAAGAACAAGAGGCCAAGAGCCAAUGCUCAUGUUAGGAUGUCAUCCGAUGUUUGGGCCCAUUUUCACAAGGUCAGGGAGCCAGAUGAGAAGACUGGAGAGAUUGUGUUGAAGGCUGUUUGUAAUUAUUGUAACGACAAGAAGUAUGCGUAUAAGCAAGGUGUUAGCACCUCAUCUAUUGGAAGGUAUCAUUUAAAAUGUAAGUGUUACAAGUCCAAGAUGGCUAGGGAUGCCAUCCAAACAACUCUUGAAUUGCGCAGAAUCAAUAGUACAGCAAGUGGUCCAACAAUGCACCCCUCUAUUGAGUACGACCAAGGAAUCGUCAAGGAGCUUAUUGCUAAGAUGAUAUGUGUGCAUGAGUAUUCAUUUAGAAUGGUUGAACAUGAGUGGUUCAACAUUCUAAUGAAGUGCAUGAAUCCAAAUUAUAAACCCAUUGGAAGGAAGGCAAUACGAGCCGAGUGCAUGAUUGCUGUUUUUACUCCAAUGGUUGUUGUUUUUUACUCAUAUGGUUGCUGUUUUUACUCCAAUGGUUGCUGUUUUUUACUCAUAUGCUUGUUGUUUUUACUCGUAUGCUUUCUAAUUCACUCCAAUGCUAUCAUCUUUGAUCCUAGGUACAAGAUGGGUUACAUAGAGUGGGCCUUUGGAGAACUAUAUGGAGAAGGAAGUACGAGGUUUAGGACUGAGAUCAAAAUCGUGGAGAAAGAGUUGGCGGCCUUGUAUGACAAAUAUGUUGCUCAAGCGAGCUGGAAAUGGAGAAAGUUCAUCUUCCUCUGCAAACAUUCCUAG